AGUGAACGCUGGCGGUAGGCUUAACACAUGCAAGUCGAACGGCAGCACAGUAAGAGCUUGCUCUUACGGGUGGCGAGUGGCGUACGGUUGAGGAAUACAUCGGAAUCUACUUUUUCGUGGGGGAUAACGUAGGGAAACUUACGCUAAUACCCCAUACGACCUCCGGGUGAAAGCAGGGGAUCUUCGGACCUUGCGCGAUUAAAUGAGCCGAUGUCGGAUUGGCUAGUUGUCGGGGUAAAGGCCCACCAAGUCGACGAUCCGUAGCUUGUCUGAGAGGAUGAUCAGCCACACGGGACGGGGAGAACGGCCCAGACUCGUACGGGAGGCACUAGUGGUGAAUAUGUGACAAUGAGUGCAAGACUAAUCCAGUCAAGCCGCGUAGGUGCAGAAUCUCUUCGGGGUGUAAACUCCUUUUGUUGGGAACGAAGAGAAGCAUGUUAAUAGCCUGCUGUGGUGACGGUACCAAACGAAUAAGCAGCGGCUAACUUCGUG
rnacentral:rRNA from 1 species